AGCAGGAAGGAUAAUAAAGUAGAAGUAGUUGUAGCUGUAGCAGGAGCAGUGAGUAGAAUUAGCACUUAGCAGCUGGUAGCAGCAGUGGUGAAAAAGGCUCAUGAUUUCUGAAAUUCCGUUUGUGGCAGGUUGGAUGUAGGUGAAGGAAAAGAGAUUAAUCUUGAGGAACACUGCCCAAGAUGGAAGCUGCUGCAGCAAUGCAUCAGGUAUCUUGGCCCUAGAGAGAGGGAGUUCUAUGAGGUAACAAUCGAGAAUAAGAUGAUGAUGUACAGGCUGAGCCGCAAGAUUGUCGACAAGUCCGAGGGGCCCAAGGAUGCAAAAUGGAUCUUUGUGUUGAGCACAACGAAAAUUCUGUACAUAGGCUCGGUCAGAGAAUAGUGGCAUUUAAAAGCAAAGGGACAUUUCAGCACUCCAGCUUCCUUGCCGGUGGAGCCACAUCUGCUGCCGGGAGAUUAGUCGUCGCGAACGGGAUCCUAAAGGCUGUCUGGCCUGAUAGCGGGCACUACCGGCCCACGGAGGUGAACUUCCGGGAAUUCAUGAAGUAUCUCAGGAAGAGGAACGAUCUCACGGAUGUGAAGUUGAACCCAACAGAAGGCGAGGAGGACGAAUGGCUGAGGAGCUGCCUCUCCUAGAUGGAUCUUUCUGCUGUGGUCCUUCUUCCGCUACUUAUAUAAGGUUUUAAGCUUGGUAUAAGAGGAGCCGCAAUUUCUACAGUCGCAUCCCAGUUCACAUGAUGGCCAUACUUCCAUAGACAUGACAUGUUCUGAUUUUUUUUAUCUUCUCCAAUGCUCAGGGUACUCCAUCUUAUGCACAGUUUAUGUAUGGGGAUGCUGACUCCAAGUUUGCGCCAUCAGUAAAAGGAGUUGCAGCCACUGCUCAUACAACAUGUUACUAUGUUACCUUUUAAAUCUUCACCCCCACAGAACUGAUAGUUGUAGUUACAUUUGCUAAAAUCUGAAGCAUGUGACCUUUUGGAAUAUGCAUCUUUUUUUUGUUCCUAUUUUUUAUUUGUUGGAGGACAACAUGUAUGUACUCAUAUUUUUGGUUCAUCUUUUUUAUGUAUUAAUCAUUUGCAUGGCACAUGAUGCCUAAUAAUAAGAAAAGAGAUAUGUAUUGAUCAUGA